AGAUCCGAACGGCGACUCCUCCGCGCGAGCGAUACGUCUGAAAACUGAGCGGCGACGUGAUCCGCGAGAACUUCACACCGCCGGUAGGCUGAGCUGCUCGGUCUCGCAGUAUGUUAAAGAAGAUGCAUCAACAAGAGGCACAGAGCCAGUGAGUACGUAGAAAAGCUGUCUGCUGCUGGAGCCGAGUUCCUUCCUGUGGAAGCAGACAGACAGAGUUCAUCGCCUUCAGAACACAACGUUGAAAUUGACACACCUCUGAGCUCCAGCAGAACGUCUCCUUCGUAGCGAGCAAGUCCGACAGCGUGCCUUUGCUCCGCGUCCAUCUGUGCCCACUGCUC